UAAUGAUUCACCACCACUUUGAAAUCUAGCUGUUCUACCCGCACGAUGUAUAUAAGCAUUCACAUCUUCGGGACAGUCCAUCUGUACCACCCAAUUUACAGCAGGAAAAUCUAAAACACAUUUUUAUUAUUUACAAGCGCAAAUAACGUAACUUUGUUGAAGAGCUUCAGGAGUAGUAUGUGUGGCAUGUUCAUGUACAGACACAUACAUGGGAUCUUUCAAACUUAAUCUGGCUAAGUCUUUUACAGAUCUAAAAAGAAGGUAAAUUGUCAAUGAUGGAAUUCAUUGUUUGUUCAAAACCCAUAUCUAAGCAUCGGUCAGCUUCAUCUAAUACUAGUACCUAAAAUUUCAAAAAUAAAUAAAUGAAUAUAUUGUUACUCUUUCAUUGAUGGCACCAAUUUAUAUACCUGCAUGUUUAUACAAUCAAAUAAUGGAUUUUCAUCCAUAUGUUGUAAUAAACGACCUGGGGUACAGAUAA